AUUGAACGCUGGCGGCCGGCCUAACACAUGCAAGUCGAGCGGAGGUGCGGACGGGUGAGUAAUGACUAGGCAUAUGCCUGGUAGUGGGGGCUCACGUCAGGAAACGGGCCCUAAUACCGCAUACUCUAAGCUGAGCCUAGGUCGGAUGAGUUAGUUGGUUGGGUAAAUGGAUAACAAGGCGACGAUCCGUAACUGGUCUGAGUGGAUGAUCAGUCACACUGGAACGGAGACACGGUCCAGACUCCUACGGGAGGCAGCAGUGGGGAAUAUUGGACAAUGGGCGAAAGCCUGAUCCAGCCAUGCCGCGUGUGUGAAGAAGGUCUUCGGAUUGUAAAGCACUUUAAUUAGGGAGGCGUUACCAACACAAUAAGCACCGGCUAACUUCGUGCCAGCAGCCGCGGUAAUUC
rnacentral:rRNA from 1 species